GCCUGGGUGGCCUAGUUGGUUGGGCGUCUGACUUUGGCUCAGGUCAUGAUCUCACAGUUUGUGAGUUCGAGCCCCGCCUCGGGCU
rnacentral:tRNA from 1 species